CAGCAGCCACGGUAAUACGAAGGGUGCAAGCGUUACUCGGAAUUACUGGGCGUAAAGCGUGCGUAGGUGGUGGUUUAAGUCCGUUGUGAAAGCCCUGGGCUCAACCUGGGAAUUGCAGUUGAUACUGGGUCACUAGAGUGUGGUAGAGGAUAGUGGAAUUUCCGGUGUAGCAGUGAAAUGCGUAGAGAUCGGAAGGAACAUCUGUGGCGAAGGCGACUAUCUGGGCCAACACUGACACUGAGGCACGAAAGCGUGGGGAGCAAACAGGAUUAGAUACCCCGGUAGUCCCUGUCUCUUAUAC
rnacentral:rRNA from 1 species